rnacentral:rRNA from 1 species
AGUGAACGCUGGCGGUAGGCCUAACACAUGCAAGUCGAACGGCAGCACAGUAAGAGCUUGCUCUUACGGGUGGCGAGUGGCGGACGGGUGAGGAAUACAUCGGAAUCUACUUUUUCGUGGGGGAUAACGUAGGGAAACUUACGCUAAUACCGCAUACGACCUACGGGUGAAAGCAGGGGAUCUUCGGACCUUGCGCGAUUGAAUGAGCCGAUGUCGGAUUAGCUAGUUGGCGGGGUAAAGGCCCACCAAGGCGACGAUCCGUAGCUGGUCUGAGAGGAUGAUCGGCCACACGGGAACUGGGACACGGUCCAGACUCCUAAGGGAGGCAGCAGUGGGGAAUAUUGGACAAUGGGCGCAAGCCUGAUCCAGCCAUACCGCGUGGGUGAAGAAGGCCUUCGGGUUGUAAAGCCCUUUUGUUGGGAAAGAAAAGCAGCAGGUUAAUACCCCGCUGUUCUGACGGUACCCAAAGAAUAAGCACCGGCUAACUUCGUG